ACUGGGGUGGGGUAGUGGUAACCUUAACGCUUCCCAAGUUUAAACCUUCAACAAGCGUUAGCGCCGGGUUCGAUUCCCGGUCCCAGUA